UUCACCCGUGAGUUAAAAAAAAAAGAAAGCGAAAGGGCAGCCACCAUUUUUCACUCCACCACCUCCGGUCAGCCACUUCCGACGGCAUUCCGGCGACUUUUCUGGCCAGUAAAGGUGCUCCAACCUUGAAAUCUACAACCACACUAAGAAAGAGAAGGAUUAAGGUACAAGUGGGGUUCUUGAACCAAUUCAAGAGAAAGCUUGAAAUUCUUGAGUUGGUGGAACUAACAAGGUUCAAGGUUAGCGAAUUGGCGUGAAGUAUACGUUGCUUCUUGGUGAGGAUUGCGUGUUUACUUCGAGGU